rnacentral:rRNA from 1 species
CAGUAGCCGCGGGAAAACGUAGGGUGCAAGCGUUAAUCGGAAUUACUGGGCGUAAAGCGUGCGCAGGCGGUUAUAUAAGACAGAUGUGAAAUCCCCGGGCUCAACCUGGGAACUGCAUUUGUGACUGUAUAGCUAGAGUACGGCAGAGGGGGAUGGAAUUCCGCGUGUAGCAGUGAAAUGCGUAGAUAUGCGGAGGAACACCGAUGGCGAAGGCAAUCCCAUGGGCCUGUACUGACGCUCAUGCACGAAAGCGUGGGGAGCAAACAGGAUUAGAUACCCCCGUAGUCCCUGUCUCUUAUAC